UGAAAACUGAAAAUUCGCGUUGCCAAAUUGCGUCCGGUCUGCAUGGACCUUUAGGCCCCGUUUCCAUGAGAACGGGGACGAAGUCAAACCGGAAUGAAAAUUGAAAUUGUCAACAUGUUUACAUGAUACCGGUACGAAAAUCACAAAAGGAUGACGAAAAUCACAAGGAACCAUGGUUAGCGAUGUUGAAACUAAACUUAACGAAGAACUGGAAAACAUAACAGUUUGGUUCAAUAAUAAUUUCUUAACGUUGAAUGCUGAGAAGUCGAAGUUUGUUUUGAUUGGUAGCUCACGCAAACUCAAGUCCUGCGAUGGUAUCAAGGUGACAGUACAAGGUCAUCAAGUAAAUCAAUCCGCGACGGCCAAGUACUUGGGUAUUACGAUUUGGUUUGGGGGGAUAAAAACAACAAAGUUCUGAUGGAUGAUUUAUCUGAAAUUUUGCAACACAAGGCCGCAAAGGUCAUACUGGGAUUACCACGCACACACUCGGCUACUGAUGCCCUUCAGAAAUUAAAUUGGGUAGAACUAAAUACAAGACGUCAACAACAUCGUUGCAUUGCAAUUCAUAAGUGCCUUCAUGGCACUAUGGACACAGAAUUAAUACUGAUUCAGAACUGCAACCGCCAUAGUUACUCCACUCGUCGGAGUGCCAACCUUUAUCUUCCAAAAGUUAAAACAGAAUGGGGAAAACAACGCUUUAUAUAUCAGGCAGCGAAGGAUUGGAAUGACUUAGAUAAUGACAUUAAGAAUAUAGCUAAUUUUAAUAUUUUUAAAAGAAAACUUCUCUCUUAACAUUUUACCAUUUAAGUUUAGCAUAUUUUUAACUUUUUUUAAUAGUAUUAUAACUUAGGAUAGUUUUCUUACAGAUAUUCAUAUAUGUAUAAUAUUGUAUUUGUGGUGAGGGCUUCAUUGAAAAGCAUCUUGGGAUGAAUGAAUUCCCUCAAUAAAAU